rnacentral:lncRNA from 1 species
GGGAGAAUGGUGAGUUACUUCUACAGGGCAUUGGUCUUGAAGUUGGUAUCCUCUGAAUUAUCUUUGUUUUUUUGCUUUAAUGAGGAUAUACAGAAAUAAAAAAUAUUUAACACCAACAUUGUCAUUUAGUUGUCCUCGUGUUAAAAAAGUAAGGGCUUCAUUAAUUAAUCUUGAUUAGAGGAACCAAUGUUGUUCUCAUGUUAGAAAAUAAGUACUUCGUUAUUUAAUCUUGAUUUUGGUCUCCUGAUUGCAGGAAUUCAGGGAGGUGUUGUCUGCACCUUUCAUAGGGAUGGAUGACUUCUUGUCAUGAAUGAUCACCCUUUUACCUAAUGAUUUCCGGAACUGUUCAUGUGGUGCCUUCGUUGGUCCUUUUUUUCACCGAAAAAGCUUGUUUUUUUUUCUUUGCAGGUACUGGAUCAUGGAGAUUGCAAUAUCUCAAAGCUUUAGAAUUGAUCUGCUUGUAUUCCAAGUUUGAUUUUUUUUUUGCUGAUCGUUUCCUUGUGGUGAGAUUAUGAUUUUUUGUGUGCCUUUCCCUGAAGAAUUUUUUUUGUUUUUUUAAUGUGAAUUUGGGAUAGCAUGGAGAAUGUUGCUGUCUGUCCCGCAGGUGCUGGACAUGAUUCUCGAAGAAGAUAUAGGUGUGCAUGCUUCACAUCUUGUACAUGCUUACGCAAAGUGGGAUUUUGUCCAUGUUUUGAUGAGCUCAAUUUCUUAUGCUACUGUUUGCUUCUGCCUGAAGGAUACAUAUGGUGUGUUUUUUGAGAGGUGGGUAUGGAUGAGGUGAGGACGUCUGUUAGUGUGUCAUUCUUGUUGAGGACCUAAUCUGUUAGGGGUGGUAUAUAUUAAGUGUUGAUGAUGACAUGGUUAUUUUGAUUGGUGUGGUUGCCUCAAAGUAAUGCCCUGCCACUCCUUGGGGGGCGUGAGCGGAUAUUUACGCUUCAUAGGAUCGGAGGGAGCAUGUCUCCAACAGAAGAGGGGAUGAAGCUAGGAGAAAAAGAAGACUUUGAUCUGGUUCUUCAGAGUGGUACAUCGAGGAACAGGUACAUGGUGUUUCUCAAUGGUCAGUCAGAGUCUUUGAGUAUUAGUUUGGGAUGCCGAAGAGAUAACACAUGAUGUUCUAUUGCUUGGGAAUUGAAGUAUAGUGUUUACCAGUAUACUGGCAUGCAUUGUUUUUCUGAAGGAUAUACUUGUUUCCUUUAGUUGAAAUACAGAAAAUUCACAAAAAGGAUUGAAUCUCACCCAAUGAUUAAACAAGCGUCGUUCAUUUAAAGCGUGUGGUUUCUUCAUCAAGGAUUGAAAUAAUCUUUGCUAUUAGGACUCCAUGGAGAACAAUAAUAUAAUUGUCACAUGGUGUGACCUUUAUUGGCUAAUUGUACAACUUAUGAUCUGAUAGAGUUUAGGGAUGUAUAUCCAUGUAUUUUUUAGAUGAAGAAGCAAAGAAGAAAACAACUAUAUCAAGGAUUUCACACGGUGAAAUGUAGAAACAAAAAACACAGUGGCGUAUCAGUUGCAACUUGCAACCUGGACUUUUAGGAUAGAAGAGUAAAUGAAUUGCUGGUUUCUUCAAAAGUUAAUAACGGACACGGUAGCGUAUCAGUUGCAUGCCCAACAACAAAUAUCAUACUUUUGUUUCGUGGCAAUGCACGACAUUCAAUUGGAUGUUACAACGUGGCAACGGCUCAGGAG